rnacentral:lncRNA from 1 species
CUUCCUUGAUCACCCUGAGUUUGCUGCAAGCUGCUGACGGCAGCUAAUCUGACAUUUGUCUCAUUGAAGUGGAAGAGCAGAUGUGUUGCACUGGAGUCCUCUUGCAGGUCUUCCGUUCUGAAGGCUGCACUCUGCGUCACAGUGUCCUAGACUUGCUGCAGCCCUUCCAGCUGGCCCAAAAGUCAGAUGUCCUGGCUUAAGCUGCUGAAGCCACCUUGGACCAUGAGUGAUCUUGAGAAUGGAAGCCACUGUCUAGAUGUUGGAACAAAGACAAUGGCCUGGGCCUCCCUGAUGACACCGCAGAGUCACCAAUUCUAAUGAACAUACUACCAACAGUGAUUUUCUCCUUGGCCCAUUAACCACACGGAAGGGAGUAUUCGCUGUGGAGUGCCUCUGUAGCUGAGGGCCCCUGGCGCGUGGUUUCAUCAGAGGCAGACAGCUGCGUGAGUCACUGUGGUGGGCAGUGUGCUGGGCCACCCUGCGGGUCCUGCCAGAGUGCUGUGGAAUUCAAGUUUGUCUUCUCCAGUUUUAGUCUCUGCACGUGCGUUGGUCUCCUUUCUGCCCCUACAGUGUGGCCAAGGCCAUUCCAGCCUCAGGAGGGCAAGAGGAGGCCUGUUGGAUGCAUCCUGAAAACACAGGCCAUCACUGUGGGUGAGAUCUACCAGGACAGAUGCCAUUCUGCAAAGUGGGUACUUUCCAUGAGAAUCCAUCCAUGUUUUUCUCUUAUUCCUUCUCUUGGCAGAUUUUCACUCUUUUCACAACCUUGUUUCAUAGACAUCAAACAAUAACACAGCACAGAAGGAAAACAAGGGUCUUCUUAUACAAAUACCAUGUAUUUAAUUCUGGCACUCAUGAUUUAUUUAUAUCAGAAAGUCAUCUUAAAUUUUUAGGAGCUCACAACAUUCAAAACCUCACACAAAUUUCUAAACUAGUAGAGAUGUCUCUGCAUCUCCCACUACUUUCUUCUGCAUGUCAAGUUUCACUUUAGGUUAGAAUAGUCAUAUAUACCCGUUGAUGGGUGCAGCAAACCACCAUGGCACAUGUAUAGCUACGUAACAAACCUGCACAUUCCGCACAUGUAUCCCAGAACUUAAAGUAAAAUAAAAAUAAAAAAAUCACAACAUUGGAAAGCCAAAAAAAAUAGCCAUAUAUAAACUUUUUCAUCUUAAAAUCCAUUUUACUCCUAACUGUCAAGGAAAAACAGAUGGUUCUAAACUCCUCCUUCUAGGCUCCUAGUGGUAAAGCAAUUUGCAGGACAACCAUGGAAGAAAGGUGCCCGCCUUCUCUAAGCUGACAUGGCCCCGCUCCCUCCCUCAGUCUGUAGCCUCAGGAGGGGACUGCUUUGCCUGUGAGUGGGAGGGAGCUACCGUGUGAGUAGUUCCCAACAGACCAUCUGAAGUCAUUUUCCCAGGUGGCAGGAGAAACACAGAGCCAGACGUUACACUGCUUUUCAAAGAGGUAAGCUCUUUUUUUUUAACUGCUAUUUAAAACUCCAAACAAAAAUGAAGCUGUGGAUGCAUGCAAGAAUGAAGCCUAAGCAAAAAUAACUCUUCAAAAAGGAAGCAGGUUUUUUGGAGAGGGUGUGUGUGUGAGGGCGGGGCGGGGGCGAGUCCUUCAAUGUGGUUUUGAAAUUAAGGUCCAUGUUCUGUGAUAAUAAGCUAUGUAUCAAUGAGAAAGGCUGAGAUUAUGACAAGAGGAAAAGGAGUAAAGGAUUUGGCGGUUUAAUCACGUUUCUAUUCUUUUUUAUAUCUGCAUCUUCUUUGAAUGCAAGUAUCAAGUUCUGUUUGGCUUUUGUGGAAAGCCAUUUCCGAAGACCUGCCUUACUUGACUGUUUCUCCCUCUCUGGCUCUCCUGUUACCAACGUCCUAGAGUUGCCUCUGCUGCCCCAGCGAGGAUGGCGACACAAACAGCGGUGGUGUCAGCGGACAGCGGUGGUGUCAGCGGUGACCGAGGCAGGGCCGAGACUCCAGGGCCCUUCGGGUUCAAGCUGUGCCCCCUCGCGCAGUUCAGCACCUGCCAGCACUUCCAAGUGUGUGAUUGUCACGCUUGCCUGAUUACUCCUUCCUUUGGGCUCCCAUAGCAAUUUGUACAUUACUGUGGAAUUGAUCAAAUUGCUUUAUAACUAGCUGUUUAUGUGUCUUUAAUCUGUGUCAUUUUGGAUGGCAGGAAAUGCUCUUUCGGUAAUUUUUUUGUCCACACUGACUGGAAUACUGGUUGGCACAUAGUAGGUAUUCAACAGUUUUUUAUCGAGGGAAUGAAAGCUCUCUAAACCACAGCAAUCAUUUGUAGACAAAGACUCUUAGGGUGUAAUGUGAUUUAACAUCUGAUUUUUGGAAAAUAGUUACUGAGAUCAUUCCGACAAUAAUAGAGUGCAAUACCCUACCUUGAAUAAAGG